rnacentral:misc_RNA from 1 species
GAUGAGGUCACGACAUACAUUUAUGUACGGCUGCUUGUUCAUGUCGUUCAGUUUCGUUUCGCGGUCCUGGUACUUACACUUAUCUCUCUACACAAUGCAGUGUCAUAUAAUUGUGAUUAGAUUGCAUGUGAAUAGACAUUUUUAUCCUAUUUUACAAGUAAAACCUGUUUUUUUAAGGACGAGGGUAAAAUAGUGUUUGGCCAGUCAGACAAUCGACGGCUGCGAAAUCUUUGUCAGAGACAGGUAGGCCCGUGCAGAGGCCUCACUGUCAUCCCAGAUGUCGCAACAAGAGCAACAACAACUGUCCAACAUGUCAAAAUUAGCAGAAUUGUGGCAGUCUUACAGUCAAGCCAUUGCUGCUUAUACCAACCAAACCCCACAGUCGGGUCCUCAGUCGGGCACCCAGGCUCCAAAUGUCAAUGUGGCAUCCUCCCCAAACAGUAAUGCCGCUGCUGCAGCAGCAGUUGCUGCUGCCCAAUACUAUGGCACCAGUGGAGGGGCAUCUUCAUCCAUGCUGGGCACAUCAGGGAACAAUCCCUCUGCUGCACCACCUGCCUCCAAUCUCCCGUAUGCUGAGUUCUAUGCCCAAAUGGAGAAGUAUUACUCUGCAUGUGCCAGCUACACACAAGGUCAAGCUGCGGCAUCCUACAAUAGUGGAAGUUACACUCAGCAGUCAAGUGGUAGUGGAAGCACUCACUACUCGUCAGGCCCUCUGAGUCAGCAGAACACUGGAUACAGUGCCAGCACUUGGCGGGGGCGAGGAGGGGAACGUGGCCGAAGUUGGGGGCGUGGCCAGAGGGGCAGCUUUGGCAGGGGCUGGCGCCAGUACAGUGAUCACUGGUCACCUAGCAGUCAGAAUUCUGCCCCGCCCACAGGCCAGGACACAUUAAAGGCCAACCCAGAAGAUGUCUUUGACUGGUGGGUGGCACCAGCGACGAACAGCGAGCCGACCAUAGGGCCAGUUGGGGGCCACUUCAGUGGCCGGGAUGACCGUGGUGGACAUCCCCGCCAGCAUGAUGUCCACAGGGAUGACCACCGUCCCCACGAUGUGCGCAAAGAUGACCACCACAGUGACCGGUAUCGGAAUGUUAGGGAAGGGGACCGGUCAAGGUGGAGUCCUCAUGGUGGAAAAUCACCAAGGGCUCGAUGGGAGGACGACCGCACCUUACGCGGUGGCUCAAGUACCAACAAGACUCGGUCUUCCCUCCCGGAGCACCCAAGUCACACGCCACCCAAACGAAUCGCAGAGUCCAUCAACUUUCGGAGCAUCAACCCCCACAUGCCAGCUAACGUGGAAAGCCUGGUGCAGCAGCAGAUCCAGCUGAUGAUGUCGCCCCUCCUGGCCAAAACAGCCCCCCCACUCCCCCCGAGACAGUUCACCGUUCCACCGAUAAUCAGGGAUAAGCAGACAGAGCAGCCACAAUCCGAGCCAUCCCAUUCGACUGGUGGGAAAGACAAUCUUGACUCCAGGGGAGUCAAAGGGGACCAGAAGAGGGACAGCACCGAAGCUGGCUUGAAGGCUACUACCGAAAGGUCAUCCAGGUCCCGUUCUAGGUCACCAGUGAGAUCAAAAUUGAAGGAUGAGGAAAAAGAGGAGGCAGGUGGAGAAGGUGAAAAGAAAGUAAAACAGGACCGAGAAGAAGCUGAUGGGGAACAGAAGGAUGCAGUGGGGUCCGAAGACACCAUGGACACUGCCAACGCCAAGUUAAAUAAGCCAACAAUUCUGACAGAAGACGUUCCCUGUCAGUCACCCGAGAGUGGCAACAAGGACAAUAAGGAACAACCUGUUGAGAGCGGGCUUGAGGGUUACGAUUCCUCCAAGAAAUAUGGUGAAGAAUACAUUCGUGAGGUGACUGCUUUCCAGUGUUUCUUGUGUGGACGUCGUUUCUGGCAGCAGGAUGAGGUGGAACAUCACUGUCGGAGCCAGGGCCACUUCACCAACUAUCAGAUCCAACAGAAAUGCAAACUGAACCUAGAUGAGGACGAAGAUGACAGCAAUGACAAAUGAGAUCACGAGAGUAGUGGUCCUCACCAGGAGUCCUCACCAGGAGUCCUCACCAGUGUUGGUAAGAGCUCCACUCCUCUACACCUUCCGGAGGGCUGGGAAGUCCACUGCUUUGCAGUUAACCACCAGAAGACUUGAACAAGUCCAAGAGAUCGGACUCACUGUCACUGCAAUCAAAUAGCCGAUAAACUGUCUGUCAUAUCUCGGUAUAUGAUGUCACUUAUUCUUGCACUUUGGAUUGCACAUUGUGACAUGGAUUAAUUUUUUCAGCGAGUGCAAGGGAACAAUUCUUGCCUUUUUAAGCAAAUAUGAAGGUAUUACGUGCUUCAAGCCAAAGGCACCCAACUUUUAAAAAAUAUUUAUUGAAGGAGACAUUGGUGCUUACGUUAUUUGGAACGGAUAUUGCAGUUGAAGCACACAUUCUGAGCAUAAUUACUGUGCUUUUCAUUACUUAAAGUCAGAGCCUUGGUCUGGAAAAUUCUCUUGGUCUCGGCAUCUGCCUAGAAGAUAGUAAUAUCUGUGUCUACAAUGCAGCUCUUCUGUGAUCUUGAAAUUCAGGUCUGACCUCAUCACGACUCUAUAGAACUGUGUCUUCUCAUUUCACUGUUUAAUAAAGCUACAAACAGUGACAAAAUGUUAAUACGUGUGAUUGUUGUUGAUCUAAAAAAAUAUUCCUAGCAUGUGGGUGGCUGUUAAAUUGUGUUAUUUUGAUGGUCAGGAAAAGUGGUAUUCAAAAAUUCAGAAACAGUGCCACUCCUUUGUAGUAAAAUAUGCCAUUACAAGUUCUAAACAAGGACAUCACUGGCACACAUUAAAUUGGGCAAUUUAGACUGAAUAGAUUUGUUCCCUUUGAGAAUAAACUUAAAGAAAGGAUAUUAAUUCAAUAAGUUUGACAUGAAUUUCUGUAAUGACAUCACGACACCAAAAAGUAAUUUGUGUACAGGGUUGAGAAAAUGGAACAACUCAAUCAUCUUCAUGUGAAAACAAAAACCUUUCUGUGUAGUCUUAGAAUUACUUUCAUAUGUUUCCUUGUGUCAGUAUUUCAGCGUACAUGGAAUUGUAAAUAUGUGUGGCUGAUUUUUUUUCCUUUUCUGUGGUUGCAUUUCUCACUCCAGUUUUACCUUAUCAGUCCAUUAAGAAUUACUGCAAGGAGUGUUCCCUAAAUCCUAAAAAAAAUAUUAACAGUAUUCGGGUCAUUUAUGAUCUGAUAUAUGCAAACAGUUAUGGGCGGGAACAGUAUCGGUAGAGGGUGGAUGAAUUGUAGAAUUUUUGCCCUCCUUGAUGAAUAUAUUACUAAGUAAAGAAAAUAUGAAUAUGAAACUUACGUCAUUGGAUAGAGUAACAUGCGCCCUUUCAGAUGCCACCGAGAUUGCCGUGAUGCAAAAGCACACGUGACAGUACUAUGGGUAUUGGGUGAAUGAGCUUUACAGCCCCCCUUUCAUCAUCAGAAUGUCACAGAAACGUAAUCUCUUAGAGUUGCUUAGUGGGAGAUAUUGCAAGUUUUUUUGUCUGCUCAGCCAAGUAAUUGGUAGGGAACGAGUUACAGUCUACAUGGCAUGUCGUUUUGUGAGUAGUGCAAUGAUUUAUUUUGUCAUUAAACUGUAAACAGUAUGGUAUGUUUCUCUUUGUGAUCAUUUUCAAAAGGAUGAAAGCUGUGAAAUUAAUGUCAUCAGCAACUAAACAGGCCUGCAGUCACAUUUGUAAUGCACAUUGUCAAUUCCUUCAGGAGUUGUGCACUGCACUAUUGGGCAGCCUGGGUGCUCUGAACCGUGAUACAGGUGCAUUGUGUGCAUAUUAAACAGCACUACUGCUGAGUGGCAUUUGUUCUUCAAAA